rnacentral:rRNA from 1 species
CCUUCGGGUGUGAAUUAGCGGCGAACGGGUGAGGAACACGUGAAGAAUCUGCCUUCAACUCUGGGAUAACUCCGGGAAACCGGGGCUAAUACCGGAUAUGAGCCUUGAUCGCAUGAUCGGGGCUGGAAAGUUUUUCGGUUGAAGAUGACUUCGCGGCCUAUCAGCUUGUUGGUGAGGUAAUGGCUCACCAAGGCGACGACGGGUAGCCGGCCUGAGAGGGCGACCGGCCACACUGGGACUGAGACACGGCCCAGACUCCUACGGGAGGCAGCAGUGGGGAAUAUUGGGCAAUGGAGGAAACUCUGACCCAGCGACGCCGCGUGAGGGAUGAAGGCCUUCGGGUUGUAAACCUCUUUCAGUAGGGAAGAAGCGAAAGUGACGGUACCUACAGAAGAAGCACCGGCUAACUAUGUGCCAGCA